GUGGGGAAUAUUGGGCAAUGGGCGAAAGCCUGACCCAGCAACGCCGCGUGAGCGAUGAAGGCCUUAGGGUUGUAAAGCUCUUUCAGAUGGGAAGAUAAUGACGGUACCAUCAGAAGAAGCCCCGGCUAACUCCGUGCCAGCAGCCGCGGUAAUACGGAGGGGGCUAGCGUUGUUCGGAAUUACUGGGCGUAAAGGGCGCGUAGGCGGGAAGGUGUGUCGACCUGUAAAUCUAUCGUUCCACGCGGUAGGCUUGGGUUGAAACUGCCUUUCUAGAGGAUUUCAGGGGAGUUUGGAAUGUACGGUGUAGCAGUGAAAUGCGUGUAUAUCGUAAGGAAGGCUUGUGGCGAAGGCGAAACUCUGGGGAAUGCCUGACGCUGAGGCGCGAAGGCUAGGUUAGCAAACGGGAUUAGAAACCCGUGUAGUCC
rnacentral:rRNA from 1 species